rnacentral:rRNA from 1 species
GAUGAACGCUGGCGGCGUGCCUAAUACAUGCAAGUCGAGCGAACAGAUGAGGAGCUUGCUCCUCUGACGUUAGCGGCGGACGGGUGAGUAACACGUGGAUAACCUACCUAUAAGACUGGGAUAACUUCGGGAAACCGGAGCUAAUACCGGAUAAUAUAUUGAACCGCAUGGUUCAAUAGUGAAAGACGGUUUUGCUGUCACUUAUAGAUGGAUCCGCGCCGCAUUAGCUAGUUGGUAAGGUAACGGCUUACUAAGGCAACGAUGCGUAGCCGACCUGAGAGGGUGAUCGGCCACACUGGAACUGAGACACGGUCCAGACUCCUACGGGAGGCAGCAGUAGGGAAUCUUCCGCAAUGGGCGAAAGCCUGACGGAGCAACGCCGCGUGAGUGAUGAAGGUCUUCGGAUCGUAAAACUCUGUUAUUAGGGAAGAACAAAUGUGUAAGUAACUAUGCACGUCUUGACGGUACCUAAUCAGAAAGCCACGGCUAACUACGUG